GUUUUAAGUAUAACUUUCUUAUUUUCACUGACAUGUGUUUUAAAACAUUAUAGAUUGAAAUUUAUGGUACUUUUUAAUUUGUAAUUUUUUAUCUGCAUGUUUUGGUUUUCUUAGGAAAGAGUUCUUUAAUAGAGUUUUAAAAUGAGGAUCUUUGGAGAAAUAGUAUGCUUCUUGUCUUUGAGAUCAACUUGCCUGUUCAAUUUUGUCUCUAUCACAUUACUCCUAAAACUUAUGAUGUGAGGCUGAGUCCAUAGAACCACUGUGCCUGGCCCCAACUUUCUAUUCUUUGAUCGCAAUUUCUCAUCUCUUUCUAGUGCUUUCGUUCAUGUUAAUCCUUCUGUACUUGUCCUGUUACCUCACAGAGACCUCUAAUCCCCAG
rnacentral:lncRNA from 10 species